rnacentral:ncRNA from 2 species
GGUAGACUAGCUUUCGUUGUCACAUAGCGAACGGGGAUCCACGGAAGCCGGUGCAAGUCCGGCGCGGCCCCGCCACUGUGACGGGCAUGUAGGGGCGCAGCACGCUGCGCCCGCGGCUCGACGCCACUGGGAAACCGGGAAGGCCGACCGCACGCCCGAAGCCAGGAGACCUCUCCGUUCGCGCCACCUC